rnacentral:rRNA from 1 species
UACGGGGGGGGCAAGCGUUGUUCGGAAUUACUGGGCGUAAAGGGCUUGUAGGUGGCCAACUAAGUCAGACGUGAAAUCCCUCGGCUUAACCGGGGAACUGCGUCUGAUACUGGAUGGCUAGAGUGUGGGAGAGGGAUGCGGAAUUCCAGGUGUAGCGGUGAAAUGCGUAGAUAUCUGGAGGAACACCGGUGGCGAAGGCGGCAUCCUGGACCAUUACUGACACUGAAAAGCGAAAGCCAGGGGAGCAAACGGG